CUAAAGAGACUGCUAUUUUGUCAUACAGAAUUCCUACAAUCUGACUUCUGCUGAUUGCCAUCUCCAUAGUGAGAUAUAGAAGAAAGACACUGCUGAAAUGCAUCACUGAAGCCUAACCUGGAACUUGUAAGAAUGAGUGCUACCCAGGCAACAAAGAAGAAAGUAAAUGCAAAGACAGUCUUGAAAAAGUGAAACGAUGUGUCCUCUCUCACUCACCUGAUGCCUAUUCUGAGGUUGACUCAUCUCAGAUUGUUCACUGAGGUCUUCAUCAUGAAAAAGGAUAUAACCAGGAAGAGGGCUGUCACCAGGAACCAAAUUGACUGGCACCUUGAUCUUGGACUACCCAACCUCCAGAACUGUGAUAAAUAGAUUUCUGUUGUUUAAGGCAUCCAGACUACAGUAUCUUGUUUCAACAGCCUGCACUAAGAGUGAGGAUAUUGAGCCUUAAAGAAGUUAAAAAGAAUCUUCUCAUAAUUACCCAGGUACUUCCUGAUAGAGUUGAGAUUUUCACCCAGGCAAUCUUAAGCCAGAGUGUCUUUAUAACAAUUCUAAUAUGCCAACUGUGUUGUCUAGUGGGGGAAAAGUCUGUUACAAUUGUGUAUUUUCAUAGACUUGAGGUAAGUACUUCUGCUCAUUGAUUUACCUCCAGACCCUAAGUAUAGUAUUUGGCAUAUAAGAAGUAUUUGUUGAAUGAAUGAGUUAGUAAAUGAAUAAAAGAAUGAAUGGAUGAUGUAUGAAGCCUACUGCAAUCUAUCUCAGCAAACUUUAAACUUCAACUAUAUCAUAAAUUCCUGAAGAGAGUCAUAUCUUGUGAGUUCUCUGUGCCUUUUCCAAAGGGAAGCACCUGUUAAAUACAUAAGGAACUUUAAAAAUAACAACUACAGGCA